AUAGCGUAUAUUAAAGUUGUUGCAGUUAAAAAGCUCGUAGUUGAACUUCAGCCCUGGCCGGGCGGUCUGCCUCACGGUAUGUACUGUCUGGCUGGGGCUUACCUCUUGGUGAGCUUGCAUGUCGUUUACUCGGUGUGCAAGGGAACCAGGACUUUUACUUUGAGAAAAUUAGAGUGUUCAAAGCAGGCAAAUGCCCGAAUACAUUAGCAUGGAAUAAUGGAAUAGGACGUGCGGUUCUAUUUUGUUGGUUUCUAGAGUCGCCGUAAUGAUUAAUAGGGACAGUUGGGGGCAUUAGUAUUGAGUUGCUAGAGGUGAAAUUCUUGGAUUUACUCAAGACUAACUUCUG
rnacentral:rRNA from 1 species